rnacentral:rRNA from 1 species
UACGUAGGGGGCAAGCGUUGUCCGGAUUUAUUGGGCGUAAAGAGCGUGUAGGCGGCCACGUAAGUCUGCUGUGAAAACUCGAGGCUUAACCUCGAGCUGUCGGCGGAAACUAUUUGGCUAGAGUCCGGAAGAGGAGAAUGGAAUUCCCGGUGUAGCGGUGAAAUGCGAAGAUAUCGGGAAGAACACCCGUGGCGAAGGCGGUUCUCUGGGACGGUACUGACGCUGAGACGCGAAAGCGUGGGGAGCGAACAGG